rnacentral:rRNA from 1 species
AGUGAACGCUGGCGGCGUGCCUAACACAUGCAAGUCGAGCGAAGUGCUUGCUGUAGCAAUACAGUAAACACUUAGCGGCAGACGGGUGAUUAACACGUAGACAACUUACCUCGUAGAGGGGGAUAGCCCGCCGAAAGGCGGGGUAAUACCGCGUAAGAUCAAGAAUCGGCAUCGGUUUUUGAUGAACACCCGCAAGGGUGGCUAUGAGAGAGGUCUGCGGCCUANCAGCUAGUUGG